rnacentral:rRNA from 1 species
UGCGUAGGCGGAAGAUUAAGUCAGUGGUGAAAUCCUGCAGCUUAACUGUAGAACUGUCAUUGAUACUGGUUUUCUUGAAUUUAGUUGAGGUAGGCGGAAUGUGUAAUGUAGCGGUGAAAUGCUUAGAUAUUACACAGAACACCGAUUGCGAAGGCAGCUUACUAAACUAUGAUUGACGCUGAGGUACGAAAGCGUGGGGAGCGAACAGGAUUAGAUACCCUGGUAGUCC